rnacentral:lncRNA from 1 species
UGGAAUUGAAGCAUUUAAGAGUAAGAUAACCCCUCCAAAAAAUGCAACUUGGUCUUUACCUGUCUCCUUUAUUUUUCUCGCUUAUUUUUUUAAAAAAAAAGUGGCCUUCCUUUUAUAUAGAUGUAUUUACUUUAAACUUAGGUCUUAAUAAAUUGGACCAUGAUACAGUGCCAUUUCUGUAUAACACACUGACCUGAGGCCGUUAGACUGUUAUAUUAUUUGUAUUUUAGCUUAUUUUGUCUCCUUGGAUUUGACUCCAGAAUACUAACAUACUUUUUUUUCCUGCUGAAUUAUAGGUCUCUGUGUAUAAGCAUCAACUACAUCUAUCAACCAAUCCCACAUUCCCAUGAUUCACCAAUUACCUAGUCUGUGUAUCUUACUAAGUUUUUACAAAAAUCAAUCACCCAUAUUGUUUCUCCAAAAAUCAAACCAUGAAUGUGUGCAUUAUGAAAACUCUCCUUCUUGGAGCAAAAUCUGCAAUCCUUCUGUUCCUGGUCUUUACUGCUGGAAUUACUGAUCCAGUAGUUGCGAGGCUUGAAGCCACUAGCAUACAAGGACUAUUUUCCGCAUGGUAAUCAUCAUGUGGCACCUUCUGGACCUAAUCCGUGCA